UACGUAGGGACCAAGCGUUGUUCGGAUUUACUGGGCGUAAAGGGCGCGUAGGCGGCAUGACAAGUCACUUGUGAAAUCUCCGGGCUUAACCCGGAACUGCCAAGUGAUACUGUCGCGCUAGAGUGCGGAAGGGGCAAUCGGAAUUCUCGGUGUAGCGGUGAAAUGCGUGGAUAUCGAGAGGAACACCUGAGGUGAAGACGGGUUGCUGGGCCGACACUGACGCUGAGUGCGCGAAAGCCAGGGGAGCAAACGGG
rnacentral:rRNA from 1 species